rnacentral:rRNA from 1 species
GGGUUGUGAGGUUAAGCGACUAAGCGUACACGGUGGAUGCCCUGGCAGUCAGAGGCGAUGAAGGGCGUGCUAAUCUGCGAUAAGCGCCGGUAAGGUGAUAUGAACCGUUAUAACCGGCGAUACCCGAAUGGGGAAACCCAGUGUGAUUCGUCACACUAUCAUUAACUGAAUCCAUAGGUUAAUGAGGCGAACCGGGGGAACUGAAACAUCUAAGUACCCCGAGGAAAAGAAAUCAACCGAGAUUCCCCCAGUAGCGGCGAGCGAACGGGGAGGAGCCCAGAGCCUGAAUCAGCAUGUGUGUUAGUGGAAGCGUCUGGAAAGGCGCGCGAUACAGGGUGACAGCCCCGUACACAAAAGCGUAUGUGCUGUGAGCUCGAUGAGUAGGGCGGGACACGUGGUAUCCUGUCUGAAUAUGGGGGGACCAUCCUCCAAGGCUAAAUACUCCUGACUGACCGAUAGUGAACCAGUACCGUGAGGGAAAGGCGAAAAGAACCCCGGCGAGGGGAGUGAAAAAGAACCUGAAACCGUGUACGUACAAGCAGUGGGAGCACCCUUUGGGGUGUGACUGCGUACCUUUUGUAUAAUGGGUCAGCGACUUAUAUUCUGUAGCAAGGUUAACCGAAUAGGGGAGCCGGAGGGAAACCGAGUCUUAAUUGGGCGUUAAGUUGCAGGGUAUAGACCCGAAACCCGGUGAUCUAGCCAUGGGCAGGUUGAAGGUUGGGUAACACUAACUGGAGGACCGAACCGACUAAUGUUGAAAAAUUAGCGGAUGACCUGUGGCUGGGGGUGAAAGGCCAAUCAAACCGGGAGAUAGCUGGUUCUCCCCGAAAGCUAUUUAGGUAGCGCCUCGUGAAUUCAUCUCCGGGGGUAGAGCACUGUUUCGGCUAGGGGGUCAUCCCGACUUACCAACCCGAUGCAAACUGCGAAUACCGGAGAAUGUUAUCACGGGAGACACACGGCGGGUGCUAACGUCCGUCGUGAAGAGGGAAACAACCCAGACCGCCAGCUAAGGUCCCAAAGUCAUGGU